GAUGAACGCUAGCGGCAGGCUUAAUACAUGCAAGUCGAGGGGCAGCACGGUUAGCAAUAACUGGUGGCGACCGGCGCACGGGUGCGUAACACGUAUACAAUCUACCUUAAACAGGGGAUAGCCUUUCGAAAGAGAGAUUAAUACCCCGUAAUAAAUUGAACGGCAUCGUUUGAUUUUGAAAGCUCCGGCGGUUUGAGAUGAGUAUGCGUCUGAUUAGCUAGUUGGUGAGGUAACGGCUCACCAAGGCGACGAUCAGUAGGGGAUCUGAGAGGACUAACCCCCCACACUGGUACUGAGACACGGACCAGACUCCUACGGGAGGCAGCAGUAAGGAAUAUUGGUCAAUGGAGGCGACUCUGAACCAGCCAUGCCGCGUGCAGGAUGACGGCCCUAUGGGUUGUAAACUGCUUUUAUACAAGAGAAAACCCUGGUACGUGUACCAGGUUGAUAGUAU
rnacentral:rRNA from 1 species